rnacentral:rRNA from 1 species
AGUCGAGGGGCAGCAUUUCAGUUUGCUUGCAAACUGGAGAUGGCGACCGGCGCACGGGUGAGUAACACGUAUCCAACCUGCCGAUAACUCGGGGAUAGCCUUUCGAAAGAAAGAUUAAUACCCGAUGGUAUAAUCAGACCGCAUGGUCUUAUUAUUAAAGAAUUUCGGUUAUCGAUGGGGAUGCGUUCCAUUAGGCAGUUGGUGAGGUAACGGCUCACCAAACCUUCGAUGGAUAGGGGUUCUGAGAGGAAGGUCCCCCACAUUGGAACUGAGACACGGUCCAAACUCCUACGGGAGGCAGCAGUGAGGAAUAUUGGUCAAUGGGCGCAGGCCUGAACCAGCCAAGUAGCGUGAAGGAUGACUGCCCUAUGGGUUGUAAACUUCUUUUAUAUGGGAAUAAAGUUUUCCACGUGUGGAAAUUUGUAUGUACCAUAUGAAUAAGGAUCGGCUAACUCCGUGCCAGCAGCCGCGGUAAUACGGAGGAUCCGAGCGUUAUCCGGAUUUAUUGGGUUUAAAGGGAGCGUAGGUGGACAGUUAAGUCAGUUGUGAAAGUUUGCGGCUCAACCGUAAAAUUGCAGUUGAUACUGGCUGUCUUGAGUACAGUAGAGGUGGGCGGAAUUCGUGGUGUAGCGGUGAAAUGCUUAGAUAUCACGAAGAACUCCGAUUGCGAAGGCAGCUCACUGGACUGCAACUGACACUGAUGCUCGAAAGUGUGGGUAUCAAACAGGAUUAGAUACCCUGGUAGUCCACACAGUAAACGAUGAAUACUCGCUGUUUGCGAUAUACAGUAAGCGGCCAAGCGAAAGCAUUAAGUAUUCCACCUGGGGAGUACGCCGGCAACGGUGAAACUCAAAGGAAUUGACGGGGGCCCGCACAAGCGGAGGAACAUGUGGUUUAAUUCGAUGAUACGCGAGGAACCUUACCCGGGCUUAAAUUGCAUUUGAAUAAUNUGGAAACAGGNUAGCCGCNAAGGCAAAUGUGAAGGUGCUGCAUGGUUGUCGUCAGCUCGUGCCGUGAGGUGUCGGCUUAAGUGCCAUAACGAGCGCAACCCUUAUCUUUAGUUACUAACAGGUCAUGCUGAGGACUCUAGAGAGACUGCCGUCGUAAGAUGUGAGGAAGGUGGGGAUGACGUCAAAUCAGCACGGCCCUUACGUCCGGGGCUACACACGUGUUACAAUGGGGGGUACAGAAGGCAGCUACCUGGUGACAGGAUGCUAAUCCCAAAAGCCUCUCUCAGUUCGGAUCGAAGUCUGCAACCCGACUUCGUGAAGCUGGAUUCGCUAGUAAUCGCGCAUCAGCCAUGGCGCGGUGAAUACGUUCCCGGGCCUUGUACACACCGCCCGUCAAGCCAUGAAAGCCGGGGGUACCUGAAGUACGUAACCGCAAGGAG